rnacentral:tRNA from 1 species
ACCCGGCUGGGUCAGUCGGUAGAGCAUGUGACUCUUGAUCUUGAGGUCGUGAAUUCAAGCCUCACGUUGGGUG